AAUGUUUCUCGACGGGGGUGGUACAGCCCCCCAGGGGGCAUUCAGAGGAUGACAGGGGGCCACAGGAAGCUAUAUUGUGGAAAGG